GAUGAACGCUGGCGGCGUGCCUAAUACAUGCAAGUCGAGCGAACGGACGAGAAGCUUGCUUCUCUGAUGUUAGCGGCGGACGGGUGAGUAACACGUGGAUAACCUAUCUAUAAGACUGGGAUAACUUCGGGAAACCGGAGCUAAUACCGGAUGAUAUUUUGAACCGCAUGGUUCAAAAGUGAAAGACGGUCUUGCUGUCACCUAUAGAUGGAUCCGCGCUGCAUUAGCUAGUUGGUAAGGUAACGGCUUACCAAGGCAACGAUGCAUAGCCGACCUGAGAGGGUGAUCGGCCACAAUGGAACUGAGACACGGUCCAGACUCCUACGGGAGGCAGCAGUAGGGAAUCUUCCGCAAUGGGCGAAAGCCUGACGGAGCAACGCCGCGUGAGUGAUGAAGGUCUUCGGAUCGUAAAACUCUGUUAUUAGGGAAGAACAUAUGUGUAAGUAACUGUGCACAUCUUGACGGUACCUAAUCAGAAAGCCACGGCUAACUACGUG
rnacentral:rRNA from 1 species